AACGGCUGGAAGAUGGUUUGAUAUUGAUUUAUUUGCUGUUUUGAUUUAGAUUGUUUCUCUUUUCCUAAGAUCUCAAGGGUGCUGUUCAAAAACCUUCUCAAGCAGCAUCAUGGAGCAACAUAAGCAGUGGGGGUGGAGGCAGGGGAAAGCUAAAAGGUGAAAGGGAUAGUUGAGGAGGGGAGGGGAAAGCAAGGCUAGUGAUUUUCUUGGGUUAGCUAUUGAUCUGACCCUUUAUUUUCCGAAUGCUGUUGCAUUUCCCCGAGUCAGGCCCGUGCUCCCUGCCCAUCCUCCAAUCCAUAGGGCUGUGCCAGGAGCAGUGUAGGAAAAAAAGCAUCAGACUGGGCUUUGGAGCUACUUACACCUGGCUUUGAAUCCACCACUUCCAAUCUAUUGACCUUUGGCAAGUUAUUUAUAUGCUCUCGCAUCUUGUAAGGUGCAGCGUAUUAUUUGGUCUUUGUUAUAGGUAGAUUCAUGUUAGAUGGACUUUUCCCAAAACCAGUUAGAAAGGAAGGUAUCCUAAACUUUGCAGAUCCCCAGACCUUAAUUACUUGGCCACUCUGCUUUGUGCUGCCGAAGCCCAGCCUUUUGGAGGCAAAAAAGGACAUCUGGACAUCUCACCCCAACUGCAAGUCACUUACUUUGUCAAAGGCACCUGCAUCAACACUGGCCUCACAGGAUUGUCAGUAGGAUCAAAUGGCAUGAUAGGUGACAUUGGUACCUUAUUACCAGCCUCUCCGUGUUACAUUUGUGUAAACAGGCACAGAAAAGUUAAAUCACUUGUCUAACAUCAUACGGCUAGUAAUUGACAUAGGAUUUGAACCCAGGCACAGCUCACAUCAGACCCAAAUUUGUAAUUAGUAAAAAUAACAAAAAAUUAUGGGACAGUGUUGUUUUCUCUCAUAUUUAAGGUUAGGUUAUUUUGUAUCCAGGAAAUUUUCUCGGAAUGAAAAAAAGAGAUACAUUUUGCUGAUUUUCUUCCUUAUAUUUAUCCAAAAAUGGUAUGAUAGUAGGAUAUAUAGCCUUUUUUUAAUGUUUGUUCAUUUUUAAGGGGGGUGGGGGGCAGAGACGGAGGCAGACAGAGGAUCUGAAGCAGGCUCUGUGCUGAAGGGGGGCUCUAACCCAUGAGUCAUGAGAUCAUGACCUGAACCAAAACCAAGAGUCGAACGAAUGCUCAACCAACUGAGCCACCCAGGCACCCCUUAUGUAUAGUCUUUUAUACUCAAAUUGCCCAAGAUGAUCAAAACAAGAAUCAGUUUUGCAAAAUUAUUUGAAGGCUUCAUCAGUUUUCCCAAGAGCCUCUCCUACGCUUCUGGUACUGAGACAAUUUUCUUUUGUAGCACCUGUGCAAUUGGCUCCCUAGUAUUUCCAUCACAGACCCACACAAGUAGCAAGAGGCACCUUUGGCAGAAUGAGACGUGCAAGGACGUUUACUAGUGUCAUAAGGAGAAAUGUUUGUUUAGUGGGGACCAAUUUGAUAUUAGUGAAUAUUUUCUGCUUAAGAUGGCCUUUGCUUCCCAAUGCAACCCGACAACAGCGGUGACUUAGAUAGUGAAGGCUGAGCUAAUGAGGACCCUCUGGCAUUUCACAGACAUUAACUAUCCUCCCUUCUUUAAAGAAAGGCUGGCUACAGCUUAGCUCAUUUGAUGAGGGUGUUUACUGGUGAGUUAUUGAAGCAGACAGACUCUAAGAUGACACCCAAUGACCCCUGCCUCCUGGUGUCCAUGCUCCUGUAUAAUUCUCUGCCCUUGAGUGUGGGUGGGUCCCGUGACUUGCCUCUAACCAACGGGUAAUGGAGUGUAUGUGAGAAUAUGUACAUUGGUAUGUUACAUAAGAUUGCAAUGUCCACCUUACUGACAGCCCCUUUUCCUUGCUGGCUUUGAUGAAGCAAGUUGCCACACUGUGAGCUCUCCUACCAAGAGAGCCACAUAGCAGGAAUUGAGGGGAAUCUUCAACCGACAGCCAGUAAGAAACUGGGGCCCUCAGCCCAAACAUCCACAAGGAGCUGAGUUCUGCCAGAAAUCAUGUGGAUUGUUCCCCAUGUUGAAGUAAGACGGCAGCUCUUGCCGACAUUAUGAUUGUAGCUUUCAGAUGAGUCCCUGGCAUAGAGGACUCAACGAAUCCAUGCCUGCACCCCUGACCCACAGAAAUCGUGAGAUAAUAAAUGUAUGCUGUUCUAAGCUGCUAAAUUUGCAGUAAUCUGUUACCCAGCAAUAGAUAAUAUUAUUCUUAUAUUCAAACCAAUGGGUCAUCAAUGCCAAAAUUUAUUGAGAUAAUGACAUGUGCAGAACCCUGCACUAGCUCUGGAGAUACCUUGGUGAACGAGAGAAAAAAAUGGGUCUUCGUGGAACUUGCAAUCUAAUGAAAUAAAUGACUGUGGUAUUGUGACUUAUACCAAGAAGUAUGUAUUUGGUCUUCAUCUCUGGUUCCUAGCACAGAGCUUCUAAACCACUUAGAAUUUCCUGAGCGAUAGGAGUGUCUUGUUAUUCAGAAGGAGCCCCUUUUAAGCACGCCUGAGUUUAUGUCAAUGAGGUGACUAAGGGUGGGACCCCCUAAAUUGCCUCAGGAUGGCGAUGCCACCAGAAAGAUCAAGUGAUUAAAAGUUUGGAAACUUCAGCCCCACCCAUUGACCUCUGGGAAGGAGAGGAGGGGUUAUUGCAGAUUAAGCUCUAUGAAUACUGCUAAGCAACAAGAUUUGAUAAUUGGUGGACAUAUUCACAUUCUGGGAGUGUGGUGCACCCCAGUUCCAUGGGGAAAGAAGCUCCUGAGAUCAGGACCCUUCAGAUCUCCCCCUAUGUACCUCUUCAUCUGGCUGUUCAUUCCUAUCCUUUAUAAUAAGUUGGGAAAUGUAAGGAAAUGUUUCUCUGAGUACUGUGAGCUGUUCUAGCAAAUUAGACUUGAGGAAGGAGCUAUGGGACUCUCUAAUUUAUAGCUAGUUGGUCAGAAGCUCGGGCAAAAGCCUAGACCUUCAAUUGGUGUCUGAAGUGGGGGCAGUCUUGUGGGACUGAACCCUUAACCUGUGAGAUCUAAUGCUUAUCUGCAGGUAGAUAGUGUCAGAAUUGAGUUAAAUUUGUAGAACACCCAGUCAGCGUCUGCUGAGAAUUGGAGAAUUGGUGGAUGGUGUUGGAAAAAACACAUCGGAAAGAUAUUAAACCAAUAAUUACCAUAUAAACUCUGCACUUUAAUCCUACCAUCGGCAUUUCAGUCAGUGACCAGUAUCAUAAUGAGUUGGAUACUAUGGAUUCAUAUCAUUGAAUACCUGCCAUAAUCAUAAUUGCUUUUUUCAGUGAAGCAUCCGGAGAAAAUCUGCUGUUAAGCCAUGCAGUUUCCCGUAACCUGAGAUAAUGCCACUAUUCCUUGUAAAAAUGAGAACAUACCUUCUCUCCAGGAGGAGGGAACUAAAGUCAGAGCCAAGUCUGAUUCUGGCUCUAAGUUCAGGAUUUCUGACUACUGGACAUUCUUUCUUAAGAGCUGUCCGGUGAGCUACAGAGUGUGCAAGAGUGAGUGGGUGGCCGGCUGCUCGGAACACACGAGCCUCCGUGCAGGUUUCUACCACCUGCGUGCGAGCAGGGGCGAGCAGCUUGCGUGGUGACAGAAUUCUUCCUUUUAGAUGAGAAGCAAACUCAGUGGGAAUGCAGAGAGGAAAUUUCCCAUAACUCCAACUCCUGGGAAGCUCACGGCAGGCACAGGUGAGGCCCAGCAUCCAGAGGGCUGGGGAUGGUGUGGGCGUCUGGACCACAGGACUUCUUCCAACUGGAACAGAGAAGCACGUGGGGGUAAGCCUCAGUCUCUCAAGUAACAGUUCCUGGGUUCAUACUGUGUCCCUCACUCUUUCGCUGUCUGGAUUAGAACCUCUUGGACCUCCGCCUUCUUCAUCUGUAAAAUGGCUGAAAUACUAGUCGCUAUGUCACAGAGUUAUUAUAAGGACUAAAUGACAUUAAUAAAACUGUGUCUGGCUCCCCGGAAGCACUUAAUGAAUGUUAGUCAUUGUCAUUGUUGCUUGGGACAAUUUUUCCUAACCAGUUCAGUUAUAAUUUUUAUUAGUAACCUUUUCUGAUGGUAGACAGAAUGCGUGUUCAUAGACCAGUAUGUAAGAGUAUAGAAAAACCACAGGAAAAAUAUUAAAUCAGAAAUACUUCGUAAAUCUCUCUCUGAUCUUUUAAGAAAGAGCUCUCUCUGAUCUUUUUCUUUUCUUUGUAUAAGUGGUCUCAAUGCUGACAGUGCAUCAGAACCACCUAGGAAGAUUUAAAAAUACAAAUACCUGGGCCCCAAACCAAAUCUAAAAAGUCAGAACCUCUAGGGGCAGGGGCAAGGGAUCUGUAUUAAAAAAAAAAAAAUUCUAAGAGCACCUGGGUGGCUCAAUCGGUUAAGUCUCCAACUCAAUUUCAGCUCAGGUCAUGAUCUCAGGGGUCAUGGGAUCGAACCCUGCAUCAGGCUCUGAGCUGACAGCGUGAAGCCUGCUUGGGAUUGUUUUUCUCUCUCCCUCUCUCUCUGCCUCUUCCCUGCUUGCUCACUGUCUCUCAAAUAAAACAUUAAACAACAUGUUUUUUUAAAACUCCAGAACAUUCUAUUGUAAAAUCAGGCAUAAAAAUCCUGCCACUCACUCAUACAUGUGCUCUCUUUCUCCCUCAUACAGUUCUCAAAAAUUGAAUAAUAUUGUACAUUUGGUUUUGUAACCUGUUUUUAUCGAGUUGCCUUAUCGCUCAUUAUUCUUCUACAAUAUCUUAUUUUUUCUUAAGGCUUCGGCAGUGGUUUCCAGUAAGUGCUGCUUUUCACCCAGCGGUCCUCUCAAAAUGAAUCCAUUUAAAAAUGUCACCACUCCUGCCUUCUCUUGUCCCACUAGUCUGCCACAGUUGAUGAAUAGAGACCCCAUUCAUCAUUAUUCUUUCUUCCCAUCUCUGAUUUUAGCUUCCUGACUGAUGGCCACAUCUGGCUCCGGCCUCUCGGUCAUCACUGCACAGCUUUGUGGCUAAAGCUGGAGAUCGUGUGGGCAGACCUGCCCGUGCAGGUUUGCACAAUUUCUUCCCUAAAAUAUUAAUUUGACAUAUAACACUGUUUUUCAUUUACUGCUCAGCCGACCAUGGUAGUGGUGAUUUCAGUUCAAAACGACCUCCAAGGACUCUGGAGGGAAAUUUCCCUGGCUGUCUACUGACAUUUUAGGAAAAUAAAAUGACGUUAAAACACCAUAAAAACAUCCUUCAUAGACAGCUGUCUGCAGUUACUGAUUAACGAGACUGGACAUGGCGUGAGCAAAGGCCUUAAGCCAAUAAGAAGCAAACACACAAGGCUUUAUCCCCUCUUGCUGCCAAUACCUGAAAUUACUGAAAUUGAUAGUCAUUACAGGACAACAAAUGUGGCCCCGAUUCUCUGUCCUUCCUGGCUGAUACUCCAGGGGCACAAUGGAAGCCCAAGUGAUGGCUGUUUGAAAAUUCUUCAAAGCCUUGUAAACCAGGGGGUUUCUCAAGAAAUGUGGUGUUGAGUGUCAGUUAAGCGUCUGACUUCGGCUCAGGUCACCAUCUCACCACUUGUAGGUUUGAGCCCCGCGCUGCUGACAGCUCGGAGCCUGGAGCCUGCUUCAGAUUCUGUGUCUCCCUCUCUCUCUGCCCUUCCCCUACUCUCAAUCUCUCUCUCUCUCUCUUUCUCUCUCUCUCAAAAAUAAAUAAAUAUUUAAAAAAUUUAAAAAGAAGCAUGGUGCAUUUGAAAAAAAAUAAAAAAGGAAAUGUCCAUUUAAGAAUCAUCUGCAUGGAGCAGUAGGCAGAAUGGGUAUGGCAGGUGACCAACUGGUCUUCAAGUGAGGAAACCAGGGGAGCUUGGCCCCUGGAGCCGGACCAUUUGCUCUGGGCUCUGGGCCAGGCCAAAUGAGGGAUAAUAAUAAGGGCUGCAGGCCACUCUGAGGACAGCAGGGCAUCGCCCAAAGAAGUCUGACUGUUUAGUGAAUACACAGCUGAGAAUGAAAGCAGUUCGUGAUGACUGAGGAAUGAUGUGCCGGGCACUCUUAGGGUUAAUUGAGGAAGCCUGGGGGACAGACAGCCUGUCCUCUCCCGAGAGAGUAGAUAUUUUGAAUGGUGCUAAUAGGAUAUAUUCCUAUUGAAGAGUGAGGGACGUGAAGCCCAUUCAAUGAGCCAGAAUUUGCUGGCCUAUUCUGCUCUUCUCAGGCCAUAGGAACAAGAGUCUUAAAUAUGUGGAAACUUUCUCCUGCAGUGGGGAAGAACAUGGGUAUUGUAGUCAUACAGACCUGCAAGCUCUUCCACUUAUCAACUGGUGAUUUAAUAUCUCUGAGGCUCGGUUUCUUCCACCCUGUAAUGGGGGCAGGUACGCACUUCAUAGGGUGGGGACCAAAUGUGCUAAGUGCCUGUGCAACAAUGUCUGGGACGGACAGUGCUGGUUUCCCAAGGCUGCUGGGGCCGGAACAGAGGGGAAGUGAAAGUCUCAGGCUGCGAUGGGGUGAUGCCGUCAGGGGGUGACGGGAGGUUUUGCCUGAGUGGCAGUGUCACUCAGACCUUUGUCCACGGCAGGGGAGGCCCUGAAGUAGGCCUAGGCUGAGGCUGGCUCACAAGUGUGAUAGUUUGAUGGUUUGCCAAGUUGGUGUGAGCCUCGCCCUGUUCUGGUUGGUUGUUGAGCAAGACAAGGCUGAUGACAGAAGCUUCUCCUCUGUGUGGCAGUUCUUUUCCAUCCCAAAUAAUGGAAAUGGCAGGAUCUCAGGAGGCCAAGACCAGUCAGAAGGGUUUUGUAUCCCCCUUAUCCCUUAUCAUACCAGGUGCAUCCUCCAGGUAAGUGCCCUGUUGCUUCUGUCUCCAGCCUGAAUGCGGGCUUCUGCACUUUUGCAAGCCGUCCUCACCCCAGGGGUAAUAUCUCCCAUUUGGUGGGGAUGGUUGCAAGUCUGCAAGCCCAUCCGAGUGACUGUGCCGGGGAAGGAAGCUUUGCUAAGUCUCUUCAUUAGUUUUCUCAGAGCAGAAAUUGAGCACCCAUGGUGACAUUUCAUUUCAACACUCCUUACUGGACACUGAUGGUUUCUUCCCAUUCUUGAAUUGAAACAAGAAAAGUGGGCAAGAAUGAUUUCUAAACAGAGUGUGAUUUUAAGCAGAGGAUUUAUGAACAUAUGUUCUCCUCCCUGGUUGCAGAUAGGCAACUUUCUCUGGGAGAGGAUAGAGAUCUUAUUGCAAAAACAAUAGAUAUUGAUCUCAAUCUGUUCAUUGCUUCUGCUUUUCAUGAGAAAGACAAAAAGAUUGUUGCAUGGAAGGCUGGGGGAGAGCCUCAGUUACCAUGCAAAGAACUUUCCACGAUAGGAGCUAAUAUCCCCAAGCACCUACUACUGCCAAACAAUGUGCUAAGUACUUUAUGAAAUUAUUUCACAGCAGUUCUUCCCAUUUCAAAGAUAAAAAGUUGAGAGUUUUAGCCAGGGAAAUCCUAAGGCUAGAGCAGGGAAAGCAUAUAUCUGGCCAUGGGAAGUUUGGGGAUAACACCCCCUCCCCUUCCUGUUGUCUGAAAAGAAAAGGAUCGGAUGUCCAUUUGGGAGGAUGAAAACAGCCCUCAGCCUGGGUUCUGGCCAAAUCGGGUCCACAAAGGACACAAAGAGACUUGUGAGCCUCUUGUGUAAGUCAAGAUUCUUGGGUGCACGUGACAGAAAUCAAACCCAAGCUAACUUAAGCUUAAUGAGAAGAAAUCUACUGGCUCAUCCAACUGGGGCUGGCAGAGGCGUGACUCACAGCUGGAAUCAGGCAUUUAAAUAACACUCCCUUGCUCUCUUCCUCCCUCUCCUCUGUGUCUCGGCCUCAUCCUCUCCCAUUACAGUCAGGCUUUCUACACUCAACCAGGCUUUUAUGAUCCUAGCUCAGCAAGACUUGCAGAAAAAGCAGGUUGUCUCAGUGAAUAUUAAAUAUACAUGGCAGGCACUGAAUGUAACUGUAGAGAAGGGCUCGGAUAAGUCCUGUUGGUAUAGCACCAUGCCACUGUACCAGUUAUGAUCACCAUUGUCAGGGUGAUAGGGUACGGUGACGAGUGAGCCCGUGGUCAAUGCAGGGCAGCAAAUUGUGAUGGAUGAUUCUACGUGAACUAGAUAGACGGGCUGAAGGAGUUCCCCAAGGGAAUCAGGGAGGCAGAGCAGACAAAAUAACAGAUGCCCACUAGGCCCUGGAACUGACAAGGAGAGUCUGAGAGAUGCCACCUUCAUAGUGAUCCUUUUGUGCCCCUAAUUACUCUAAACAUGACAAUGAUCCCAUAUAUCACAUUUAUUAGUUUGCUGGGGCUGCCGUAAAAAUUACUACAGACUGGGUAACUUAUCACCAGCAGAAAUUCACCUGUCACAGUUCUGAAGGCUGGAAGCCUGCCAUUUGGGUGCCGCAUGGUUGAGUUCUGGUGAGGGCCUUCUUCCUGGUUCGCAGGUGGCUGCCUGUGUGCCCCCAUGGCCUCUUCUCAUCCUCAGUGCGUGCAGGGGGCUCUGGUGUCUUUUCUUCUCGUAAACAGGGCAUUGGUUCUAUUGGAUCAGUACUCUACCCUGAUGCCCUCAUUUAGCCUCAAUCCCCCUGAAAGGCCUCAGCACCGUCACAUGGGGGACGAGGGCUUCAACAUGUGAAUUCUGAAGGGACACAAUCCAGCCCAUAGCAUCCUGAGAUCUAGAUACUUUUUUGAAGAUACAGUUUACCUCUGUUCUACAAAAAUCUCAGUGCUCUGAGAGACACCUCAUGCUUGAAAAUGAUAGUCAGAAAUAUCUGAGGGGCGCCUGGGUGGCUCAGUCGGUCGAGCGUCUGAGUCUUGAUUUUGGCUCAGGUCAUGAUCUCGUGGUUUGUUGGUUUGAGCCCCAUGUCAGUGCACUGUCAGUGCAGAGCCUCCUUGGGAUUCUCUGUCUCCCUCUCUCUCUGCCCCUCCUGCAUGCUCUCCCACUCUCUCUCUCAAAAUAAACUUUAAAAAAAAAAAAAGAAGUAUUUGAAAUUCUAGGUAAGUGGGAUUCAGGAGGAAAGAAAUUACAUUGCCUGUGGAUUGGAAGCUCCGUGAGGGCAGGGACUGUGCCUCUGAGAUCAGCAGUUGGCCCUGAGAAACACAUGAAUUGAGGAAAGACGGACUUCCCUAGAGAUGUACAAAGAUCAGUGGUUUGAAACGCAUUAUUAUCCGAGCUUCAUUUGAUCUCUGUUGGGAAAACAAGGGAGGGUGGACACUCCCUUUUGUCACUGAGGGGUGAUUUGCCUGAAUUUUUAAGAGGCAGUUUCCUGCUUCUCCUGUCUCGUCCUGGUUCUGAAGACACUGCUGCUAAUAAUCAGGUCUGUUGCUCUGUCUGCCCUGUCUUCUGGGAAAUAAAGUCUUGCACUUGAGAUACUGUGUAACAAGAGCAUUUUAUUUAACAAAAUAAAAUACAUACACACAUGCACACAUGAUCAGUUGCUUUAAAAAUAGCCUCAGAAAAGCUCUCAUUUUCGUGUGUCUUAGGAUUUCUUCCUAAAAUCUAGCACAGCUUUUACAGUUUUGUUCAGGGGCUUGCCUGCUUAUUCUUUUUUCCGGGUUUUGGAUUUCAGAUUCAGUCACAGUUUUGUAGGUGCAGAAAAAUUUUUCCUUCUUCUCUUCUAGGUUCUUUGGCUGGCCAAAUAAUUAAAUUGAUGUAAGACGGAUUAACAGGAGGAAAACAAAUUUAAUUUCAUGCAUAAAAGAGCCCCAUAAAGCUAUGAGACUCAAAAAAGUGACCCAAGUAGACAGUUUUUAUGCCUUUUAUUUUCUUAAUUUUUAAAUGUUUAUUUAUUUAAAAAUAAUUUUUUUAAUGUUUUUAUUUAUUUUUGAGACAGAGAGAGACAGAGCAUGAGCAGGGGAGGGGCAGAGAGAGAGGGAGACACAGAAUCGGAAGCAGGCUCCAGGCUCUGAGCUGUCAGCACAGAGCCCCACUCGGGGCUCGAACUCAGGAGCUGUGAGAUCAUGACCUGAGCUGAAGUCGGACGUUUAACCGACUGAGCCACUGAGGUGCCCCUAUACCUUUUAGAUAGAGAAACAGUAAAUUUAUAAAGAAUUAGCAAGAUAAAGGGGUUUGGGCUUGGGGUCGUAAAUUAGUGAAGAAAUAACAAGUUUUGUUUGCAUAGCCUUCUCAGCCCUAAAUUCCCUAUUUUUGGUGAUAAGGAUCCCUUCUACCCUCCUGGUACAUCUUUCACAUGGGAGAUUCGUCUCCUGCUUUCAGGGGGACAAAGGCGGAUCGGAGUGUUCUUCUUGCACUGACUCUCAAAUAAUUUUAAUUCAAAAUAAUUUGAAAAUGAAUCAAAGGAAACCUCAUUGAAAAUGGAAUCAGGAUGCCAGAAGGGGGAGCCCUCACGCACUACCCCUGGACGGAUUCCAGCCGGCAACAGGAAGCGGGGUCCAUACCGAGCGCAGCUCAACGGGGAGCGACUCACCUUGCAAGCUGAUACCACUUUUCUGUGUCAGCAGGAGGAAGAGAGAUUCCCUUCCUUGCCCAGGAACUCAGCCAAUGAGAAGCCAUCACUACUCUGAACCCUCGCUUACCUCCAGUGAACUUCCACUCAGAAUAGCCCCUCCCACUUCCUCCUCUUUCUCUAUAAGCUAAUGUUCCUUUCCUUUGCUUGUUGCACUUGCCUAUGACUUUUGCUAUAUAGCUUGAAUGACAAGCUGAAUUACAAGUCCUCUGUUAUUUCUGAAUAAACCCAGUGUGCUGGUAAAAUAACUGGCCGUUUUAAGGUGGACAAGUCAGUAUGCAAAGUGGCAUAUCUGGGGGUCGCGUAUUCUCCUGGGACUUCCAUUUGCUGUCCUGUUAAAGCCUCUGUAGGUACUUCCUUAAAAGUUUAAGAAUAAACAGGACCGGCUGUGACUGCUUCAGAAUAGUAUCCAUUUUCAUGUAGUGUCAUGGUGGCUUGCCCUGGAGAGGGCUGCCUGGGUACCAGGUUAUUUAUCAGCUCUGUGGCUCUGGGCUGGUUAAUCUUUCUUAGCUUCAUAAAGUUGUAGGGUAUAUGAAAAGCGCAUAUAGCACAGUGCCUGUCCAGGGUAAAUGCUCUAAAGUAAUAACUAUUAUAACUAUCUCUCCCUUUUACAAAUUGCUCAAUGUCCCAAAUGCAGGGCUCUAAAACUCAAAUGUCUGCAGGAGCCAGGAAGGUAAUUUAAAUGUAUAAAGCUAACUGGUUUGGGGCUUUGGGAAUGGGCUCAUCCAUGAUGAAGUAGGGGGAGCACAUGAUCUGCUAAAAGAAAGUCAAAUUUUAUAACUGAAAGGAAAGGAGAGGAACGGAGGGAGGGAGGGAGGAAGGGAGGAAAGAAGAUAACAUCGUACAUGUUGGCUGGCUGGAUUUGGCCCUAGUUUGUAACCCUAGCUCUGAUAUAAAGGAGCUGAGUGAGCUCCGUUAGGGAAACGAAUCUCAGGUUUUAGGAUUUGUCUUAGGAUGUUCUCA